rnacentral:rRNA from 1 species
AUAAUGCAGUCGAGCGACAGAUAAGGAGCUUGCUCCUUUGACGUUAGCGGCGGACGGGUGAGUAACACGUGGGUAACCUACCUAUAAGACUGGAAUAACUCCGGGAAACCGGGGCUAAUGCCGGAUAACAUUUAGAACCGCAUGGUUCUAAAGUGAAAGAUGGUUUUGCUAUCACUUAUAGAUGGACCCGCGCCGUAUUAGCUAGUUGGUAAGGUAACGGCUUACCAAGGCAACGAUACGUAGCCGACCUGAGAGGGUGAUCGGCCACACUGGAACUGAGACACGGUCCAGACUCCUACGGGAGGCAGCAGUAGGGAAUCUUCCGCAAUGGGCGAAAGCCUGACGGAGCAACGCCGCGUGAGUGAUGAAGGUCUUCGGAUCGUAAAACUCUGUUAUUAGGGAAGAACAAAUGUGUAAGUAACUAUGCACGUCUUGACGGUACCUAAUCAGAAAGCCACGGCUAACUACGUGCCAGCAGCCGCGGUAAUACGUAGGUGGCAAGCGUUAUCCGGAAUUAUUGGGCGUAAAGCGCGCGUAGGCGGUUUCUUAAGUCUGAUGUGAAAGCCCACGGCUCAACCGUGGAGGGUCAUUGGAAACUGGGAAACUUGAGUGCAGAAGAGGAAAGUGGAAUUCCAUGUGUAGCGGUGAAAUGCGCAGAGAUAUGGAGGAACACCAGUGGCGAAGGCGACUUUCUGGUCUGUAACUGACGCUGAUGUGCGAAAGCGUGGGGAUCAAACAGGAUUAGAUACCCUGGUAGUCCACGCCGUAAACGAUGAGUGCUAAGUGUUAGGGGGUUUCCGCCCCUUAGUGCUGCAGCUAACGCAUUAAGCACUCCGCCUGGGGAGUACGACCGCAAGGUUGAAACUCAAAGGAAUUGACGG